UUUUUUUUUUUUUUUUUUUUUUUUUUGAGGCAGAAUCUCUCUGUGUUGCCCAGGCUGGAGUGCAGUGGCACAAUCUCAGCUCACUGCAACCUCUACCUUCCGGGUUCAAGUGAUUCUCCUGUCUCAGCCUCCCAAGUAGCUGGGACUACAGGCAUAUACCACCAUGCCCGGCUAAUUUUUGUAUUUUUAGUAGAGACAGGGCUUCGCGAUGUUGGCCAGGCUACUCUCAAAUUCCUGACUUCAGGUGAUCUUCCCAUCUUGCCUCCCAAAGUGCUGAGAUUACAGGCGUGAGUGCGCGCCCGCCCCACCCAUUUUACAGAUAAGUAAAACUGAGGCCCCGGGGAAGAACUGUAAUUGGAAAAGGAGGGAGCAAGAACUCAGGGGUCUCCUGGCUCCUAGACUGAGCCUCUCUCCUGUACCUCCAAAACCUGCUGGGACACACUUUAGCUGGAGCUGUGUUCACUUUAUGUCCAGCUUUGUAUCCCCUCCUUGCCUUCCUCCCUGUUCUCAGCUCUGUUUGCAGGCCUAAUCCUGCAGCCAUUCCCACCUGGGCUCAUCUCAGGGGCCUGGAUGGUUUUCUUGCCCUCCCCGUGGGGGGAGGAUGUCCCACUGGACCCAGAAGCCAAUGAUGUACCCACUGUCCCUUGCCAGUCCCGCUGCCGGCGAUGGAGAUGGCAUCGCUGCUGUCACUGCAGGAGGAGAACCAGCUGCUGCAGCAGGAGCUGUCCCGUGUGGAGGACCUGCUGGCCCAGAGCCGUGCCGAGCGCGAUGAGCUCGACAUUAAGUACAACGUGGUCAGCGAGAGGGUGGGUGCCGCCCAGGUGGUGGGCUAGGCCAGGGCUCCCCCGGUUUGAGGGCAUGGAGGCAUCUAGACCAGGUCCACACACGGGGCAAAAGAUGGGACCUGGUGUCAGGUUGGCCUGAGCUUGGAUUGAGGCUCUGCCACGUUGAGUGGCGUUGAACAAAUCGCUACAUUCUUCAAGCCUGUUUUCUGUAGUGGGGAUUGUAAUGGGACGUGGAGUUGUUUGAAAAAUAGGAAAUAAUAGAAUAAAGUGCCUGGCAUAGGGGCAAUUUGUUCCCAUCUGUCCCAGGCCUGUUAGGGGUUCGGGACACAGAGAACGAGAUCCCUAGAGAUUCCUGCCCCUUGAGUUUCUGGGCAUCUCCCUGUGCUACCGUUGCCACGGGCCUUGGGGCUGAGGUGGUGGCUGGAUGCUGGCUGGAGGCUGGUGUGGCCACCCGCGGUGUUCUGCAGGACAUCUGGGGCAGCCACAAGACCUGCCGCCACUGCCUAUUGGAAUGGGUUCCAGGCAGGGAAGGAAGGAGAAGCAGGCCUGUCUUCAUGUCCAGGCAGGUUUCACAUCACCUGUGCUGUAGGCUUGUGGGGGUCCCACGGCCUGGGGCGGGAGCUGGGUGUGAGCCGGUGCCAGGGGUGCGUGAUGCUGUUGAUGCACUGUCUGCUUUGGGCCUCCAGGUGGCCGGGAGGUGACCCUGGAAAGUUGGUGGUGGCUGAAGAUUGGUAAGGGAGUUACAAAUAGGACCGAGUGUAUGUGUGCAGAUGGGAGGCAUGCAGGUGGCAAUAACAUAUUAAUAGCAGCUACUGUUUAUUGAGUGCC
ensembl:lncRNA